rnacentral:rRNA from 1 species
UACAGAGGGUGCGAGCGUUAAUCGGAAUUACUGGGCGUAAAGCGCGCGUAGGCGGCCCGCUAAGUCGAACGUGAAAUCCCCAGGCUCAACCUGGGAACUGCGUCCGAUACUGGCAGGCUUGAAUCCGGGAGAGGGAUGUGGAAUUCCAGGUGUAGCGGUGAAAUGCGUAGAUAUCUGGAGGAACACCGGUGGCGAAGGCGGCAUCCUGGACCGGUAUUGACGCUGAGGCGCGAAAGCUAGGGUAGCAAACGGG